GUGCUCACGUCAGCAGCACAUUGUACUAAAACUGGCACAACACAGAGAAGAUUAGCAUGGCCCUGCGCAAGGAUGACGCAAAUUCAUGAGGUGUUCCGUAUUUUA
ensembl:snRNA U6 U6 spliceosomal RNA